rnacentral:rRNA from 1 species
UACGGAGGAUGCGAGCGUUAUCCGGAUUUAUUGGGUUUAAAGGGUGCGUAGGCGGUCCGUUAAGUCAGCGGUAAAAUUUCGGGGCUCAACCCCGUCGUGCCGUUGAAACUGGCGUUCUUGAGUGCGGCGGAGGCAUGCGGAAUGCGCGGUGUAGCGGUGAAAUGCAUAGAUAUCGCGCAGAACCCCGAUUGCGAAGGCAGCGUGCCGUGCCGCCACUGACGCUGAGGCACGAAAGCGCGGGGAUCGAACAGG